rnacentral:rRNA from 1 species
GAUGAACGCUGGCGGCGUGCUUAACACAUGCAAGUCGAGCGAGAAAAGUUCUUCGGAGCUUUUCUAGCGGCGGACGGGUGAGUAACACGUGGGCAACCUGCCUCAUAGAGGGGAAUAGCCUUCCGAAAGGAAGAUUAAUACCGCAUAACAUUGUUGAAAGGCAUCUUUUAACAAUCAAAGGAGCAAUCCGCUAUGAGAUGGGCCCGCGGCGCAUUAGCUAGUUGGUGAGGUAACGGCUCACCAAGGCGACGAUGCGUAGCCGACCUGAGAGGGUGAUCGGCCACAUUGGAACUGAGACACGGUACAGACUCCUACGGGAGGCAGCAGUGGGGAAUAUUGCACAAUGGGGGAAACCCUGAUGCGGCAACGCCGCGUGAGUGAUGAAGGUCUUCGGAUUGUAAAACUCUGUCUUUAGGGACGAUAAUGACGGUACCUAAGGAGGAAGCCACGGCUAACUACGUGCCAGCCGCCGCGGUAAUAC